AUUGAACGCUGGCGGCAUGCCUUACACAUGCAAGUCGAACGGCAGCACGGGUGCUUGCACCUGGUGGCGAGUGGCGAACGGGUGAGUAAUACAUCGGAACAUGUCCUGUAGUGGGGGAUAGCCCGGCGAAAGCCGGAUUAAUACCGCAUACGAUCUACGGCUGAAAGCGGGGGCCCUUCGGGCCUCGCGCUAUAGGGUUGGCCGAUGGCUGAUUAGCUAGUUGGUGGGGUAAAGGCCUACCAAGGCGACGAUCAGUAGCUGGUCUGAGAGGACGACCAGCCACACUGGGACUGAGACACGGCCCAGAAUCCUACGGGAGGCAGCAGUGGGGAAUUUUGGACAAUGGGCGAAAGACUGAUCCAGCAAUGCCGCGUGUGUGAAGAAGGCCUUCGGGUUGUAAAGCACUUUUGUCCGGAAAGAAAUCCUUGGCCCUAAUACGGUCGGGGGAUGACGGUACCGGAAGAAUAAGCACCGGCUAACUACGUG
rnacentral:rRNA from 1 species